rnacentral:rRNA from 1 species
UACGUAGGGGGCGAGCGUUUGUCCGGAGUUACUGGGCGUAAAGGGCGUGCAGGCGGUCUGGUAAGUUUGGAGUGACAGUGCUCGGUUUAACUGAGCAAGGUUUUCAAAAACUGCUGGACUUGAGGGCUUGAGAGGGACAUAGAAUUCCGGGGUGGAGUGGUGAAAUGCGUAGAUAUCCGGAGGAAUACCAAAGGCGAAGGCAGUGUCCUGGCAAGCAUCUGACGCUGAGGCGCGAAAGCUAGGGGAGCGAACAGG